rnacentral:tRNA from 1 species
ACAUUGGUAGUUCAGUGGUAGAAUUCUCACCUUCCAUGUGGAAGAACAGGGUUCCAUUCUCAGCCAAUAUA